CCAACAGAUAUAGAGUAGCAACAGAAGAUUCCGUUUAGCUGAAGCCACCAAAGAGGGGAUCAUGAAGAUGGAGGGCAAGGCAACCCAUCUCUCGAGAGAAUACCAACAAGGGAGGAUGGCGGACGGUCAAUCCAGACGUCCGGGCACAUUCUCCGCACCGUAAGCGAGGCGAGGUUAUCCGCCGCCGAAUUCGCUUUCCUUGAGAUCCAAGACCAAACAAAACUUUGCCAGAAAGAGGGAGAGUUCUUGAUCUUUGCAACAGCAGGGUAGAUGCUCCAGAUAUUGCAAUUGAAGGGAGAAUUGAUAGCAUCAAUCAAGCAUUUCGAAUCAGAUUCGAUGAUGAUUGGAAAAGGGGUGAGCUUUUCGGCAAGAGAACAAGCUUCAAUACCCGCGCGAGCUUCCGCUUCAAGAGCCGAACCCGCUCGACAAGUCGUAUGAACACCAUCAAUUAAAUCACCAUGGCAAUUCCUUGCAACAACUCCAAUACCUACUAGGUUUGUGUGAUGGUGAUGAACAUGAUUUUGGUUAGUUCGGGGAGGUGGUGGAGGAAUGGGCUCUGGGUUAAUUUGACUUGGAGGGAGUGAACUGAUGGGAUUUAGAUGGUGGGGUGGAUGAGUUGGAUGGGAUUCACUAAUAGUUGAAAGAGAAGGCCAUGGAAUAUUAGUAUCGAUGUUGAGUUGUGUUGACAUUACAUUUUUGCAUUUGAGUUUAGUCUUCUUUAAGUUUGUUGAUCAGGUCUUGGGAAUUAUAUUAUUGUGAGUUAUAUCAUACCCAAAUUUUUAAAAUUUGUCAUUCGAAAAUUGGGGUGUGACACCUAAUCUCUCUGUUCUUUUUUGGGUUGAAAAACUAAGCCAAGCUCUGUGAACCCAUGACUUUAACUAGGCCAAGCUCGAGAUUCACCUUCUUACUAAAAUAUAGAGGAUAAAGUUUUCUUGUAAACUUUUUGUGUUUUGUUGAUAGACUGUCAAUAUGGAUCUUCUUGUUGAGGAAAUCGGUAGUUCAGUGUCUAUAUUUAUAUUUUAUGUGUAUCCCUUUAGAUUGUGAUGCUGCAUUGUUAUAGUUGUGAUGCAAAUAGUUUUUGGAUCUUUGUUGUUUGCUUCUUUUUAGAUUCUGAUGCUGCAUUGGUGAAGAGUUUCAGUUCUCUUUCUGACUUUAUGUUAGUAUCUUUCUGAAACAGCAACAACUAUACGUUUACUGAUCUCUAGCACCAUCAACAAUAUCUAAUUUGCCUUCUGGGUUGAUUCUGCUAUAUUGUUAGAGUUUGGAUUGUUAACAUCAAUCGGUUCUGGUCAUCUUAAUCAUUUAUUUUCUCUCCACAGUGGUUUUGAUCAAUUUUUUCUUGCCAGCGACAUGCAUUAGCAAUUAUUGACACUAACCUGCUGAAUAUAAGCACUAUAGUAUGUAACAAACAUCCAUUUUUUGUACAUUUGAGACCCCUCAAUAGAACCAGUACGUUGGAAUAAAACCAAACGAG